rnacentral:lncRNA from 1 species
CAAAAUCUUCACCAUGUACCCGGGUCCAACGCGAGCAAUAGAAUGAGAAGAAGGAAAACACUUCUUUCCAAAAGCGGCAAUGCAUUCUUCAUGGCCGUUCAUGGCUUCAUCUCCUUCGAAUAUGAAUCCCCACGAGCGAAGAAGAAUCGCGACUUCCAAUCAUCCAUUAACGGCUCGAGCUCAACAUCAACCAUCCAAUUCAGUUGGCUCGCGCUCACAUAAACAAUGAAGAACAAAAUCGAAGUUGAGAAAACUCACCAGAUUUGGAGUUCCCAUUGCAACCAGGUUUGAAGCGCUUCUUCUCCCGCUGAUUUCAAUCCCUUCUUCUUCUUGGGUGUUCUGCUAUUGCGGUGGCGUUGUCGUUCAUUGCUGAUAACCAAGUUGUGUGGUUGUUAUGCGAGGAUAGCAGAGCUCGGUUUGGAAGCUCGAAAUGGAGGUGAUGAAUGUCUCAGAAUCCUGUGGAAGAUGAAGAUUGAAGGGGAUGCCGAAGCCUGAAAGAGAGUGAGAGUUCGAGCCUCUUGCGAAAUGUGCGUUGCGUUUCUCUUUUCUAUUCUGAGAUUUUGUGAUACUGGUGGAGAGAGAUGAAUGAAUGAUGAUUGAGGAAUUUAUAGAGCCGAGAAUGGCUAACUGAAUCGGGUAAUUGUGCAGCUAUUAGGGCAAUAUUUAACUCUUUUAAAUUUCAUAAGGUAAGUUUGUUAGUAGUUAAAAUCUGUUAGAAAUCUCAGUUAUGAUUUUGGUUAGUCAACUGAAUGUUAGUUAGUCAUUGGAAAACUUCUAUUAGAUUUGUUAGUUUAUGAACUCUGUUAUGAUUUUUGUGUGAGCUGGAAAUACGUAGUUUGUGAUAUGUAAUUGAAUGGAAUCAUUUGAAUAUUAUUUGAGUUAAUUUCAAUGAAUUGGUGGUUAUUAGAUGCAGGAUAUGAUUGAGCUACUAUGAGCUGAUAGUGCAGGUUAGUUGGAUGAUGUUUGUCAGUGGAUUUUCUGUUAUGAAUGUAUGCUGGUUAGAAUUAUGAUUUUUCCACUUAUAAUUAAGUUGUGAACUAUUUCCGCAUUACUCGGCAGUUUUUUUUUUGUAUUAAGUUCAGUUAGAAAUAUGGAAUUAGCUCACUGCGUAAUUAAUUAAUUAGUGAUGGAGUGCCUUUGGAACUAUUUCGUGUUCUUGGAACUAUUUUGUGUUCUUGGAAUUAUGCAGAUGAAAAUUAAGUCGUGAUUCUACUUCUCCUUAUGCAGGGUUGAACUGAUUUUUUUUCUGUGGAAUUGAUUGUCGAUGUCGUGGCUGCUAGGAACUGAUGUAUGCUUGGAACUAGAUUGUAUUGGCUAGCCUGCAAUCUAUUGUGUUCACUUGUUGCAGUACCAUGGUUAUGAAGGUAUAUUCCGAUUGGUAUUUGUAUGUUUUGAUGUUGCUUUUGCCAUGUGGUUUGUGAGUAGAAUAUAACACUGCCUAUGUAAUGCUAAAUUGCCACUGAAUGCUGUUUGAUAGGAGAAAGAAUGCUAAUAUUUUGUUAGUCAUGUUUAUGAAUAGAUAAAUGUUAAUUGCUUUCAAUGAUGAUUUGCCUUCCUGUUGAAAUGAAAAUGUCACUGCCAGCUGGACUUCCAGAUGCAAUUUGAAGUUAAUUAGGCUAGAUAUGGCAAUGCAUCAAGUGUCAAAUGAUUACUAAAUCGUGGACUAUUUUCUUGCAGGAUGGGUCAUGUGAUUGGAUGACCAAGUGGCGAUGUAUAACACACUGGGAGAUCAAUGACGGGCUUCCCAAAUUCCAAGCUUCUUCCCUCUCGAUUCGAGCUAUCUAAUAGCAUGGGAUGGUGCCAACAUGAUGUAAUAAAAUUAGGACAUGGAUUAGCUUGUUGUUUUAUGUUGUAAUGGGAAAAAAACUCACUUAUAAUAAUUUAUGUCAAACAAUGUUUAUGUAAUGUAACUUAACUUGUGAUUCAAAAUUCAAGCAAAAUUCCACUUCUAAAUUCCACUUCCUGGUAUGAAAUGUUGUAUAACAUGUUAUGGUUUGGAAAUUGUUUUGUUGUAUUUGAA